CGCGGCUAACUCUUGUGCCAGACAGCCAGCGGUAAUACAGAAGGGUGCAACGCGUUAAUCCGGAUUUACUUGGUGCGUAAAAGCAGCGCAGUAGUGCUGUGCUAAUAUAAAGUCAUAACUGUUGAAUCAUCCCACAGAAGCCUUCAAACUAUGCGGCAAAUUUGGACAUUCAGAAAUACAUAGGANUUAAGCCCUACGAAAGUUGUUGUGCGACGACGAGCAUUGUGAUACGCAACAUUCCCCAUGUGUUGAUAUCGCAGAGUCGCAAAACUUGCCGUUAAGACGAAUCCUCGGCAGGGCAAAUAACCUGAUUGUGCAGAAAGUGGCAAGCCAUUACUUGUGCCUUAAACCACUUGAACAGCUUGGAGUGUAGAGCAAAAAGCCAUUGGUGUGAAGCCAAAACCAAGCGACUUUCAGAAUACCCCCUUGGUUUAUGUCCCACUGCCCCGGUAAAACUGGAUUGUCCUUACUUACGCCCGGUUUCGGGGGCGCCCUUUUAGAGGGCCUUUUCAGCUUGGCUGCAAGCCUAAACCGGCCGCAUUAAAAGUUAGUGACCCUGCCCCUGGUGUGUGGAGGUUACCGUGUUCAGCCACAGGAUCUUAUCCAUCUUCCAAUCUUUGACACUUUGCACGUGCGUGGUGCCCCUGCGACAAACGCUGGGCUGGCAGGCCAUUGUCGGGUUUUACGUUCCCGGAUCGCCGCACUGCGCAAGGACAACCUCUUAACCUUGCGCCCCUUUGCACCCAUAAGGUACCGCAACCUUUUUCCCAGAAGCAUUGGCAUUUGCGGUCGCCUUUCCGGGGAGAACCUUUACCCUUCACCGGCGUUGCUCUGACAUUUGGGCUUGGUCCGUACAAGCCUCCCUUGUUCCGCUCACGACUCGUCUGGCGUGUAAAGCUCCCCCGCCAAACUGAAUCGGCGCACCCCUUCUCUCCCUCUCAUUCUGCCCAGCGCCACGUCAACGUGCUGGGCGCACUUUCACACGGGC
rnacentral:rRNA from 1 species